rnacentral:rRNA from 1 species
UACGUAGGGACCAAGCGUUGUUCGGAUUUACUGGGCGUAAAGGGCGCGUAGGCGGCGUGUCAAGUCAAUUGUGAAAUCUCCGAGCUUAACUCGGAACGGUCAAUUGAUACUGAUGUGCUAGAGUGCAGAAGGGGCAAUCGGAAUUCUUGGUGUAGCGGUGAAAUGCGUAGAUAUCAAGAGGAACACCUGAGGUGAAGACGGGUUGCUGGGCUGACACUGACGCUGAGGCGCGAAAGCGUGGGGAGCGAACAGG